AUUAAGUUGAAAACUAAAACCCGACUGCGAUCGUCUUAAUAAACCCUGAAAUAUUAGAGUGAAAUUGUUUGUAUGUCGCUUGGUGUAUUUUAUUGUUGUAAAUGUAAAUAGAUACCCGUACUCA